UGGGGAAUUUUGGACAAUGGGCGAAAGCCUGAUCCAGCAAUGCCGCGUGCAGGAUGAAGGCCUUCGGGUUGUAAGCUGCUUUUGUACGGAACGAAAAAGCUUCUCCUAAUACGAGAGGCCCAUGACGGUACCGUAAGAAUAAGCACCGGCUAACUACGUGCCAGCAGCCGCGGUAAUACGUAGGGUGCGAGCGUUAAUCGGAAUUACUGGGCGUAAAGCGUGCGCAGGCGGUUAUGUAAGACAGAUGUGAAAUCCCCGGGCUCAACCUGGGAACUGCAUUUGUGACUGCAUGGCUAGAGUACGGUAGAGGGGGAUGGAAUUCCGCGUGUAGCAGUGAAAUGCGUAGAUAUGCGGAGGAACACCGAUGGCGAAGGCAAUCCCCUGGACCUGUACUGACGCUCAUGCACGAAAGCGUGGGGAGCAAACAGGAUUAGAUACCCUGGUAGUCCACGCCCUAAACGAUGUCAACUGGUUGUUGGGAAUUAGUUUUCUCAGUAACGAAGCUAACGCGUGAAGUUGACCGCCUGGGGAGUACGGCCGCAAGGUUG
rnacentral:rRNA from 1 species